GUAGCUUUUAUUAUGAUUUGGAAUCUUCUCCAAAGGUUUUGUCCCUAAGAACUUGUUUUGAAAUAUAUGGCCUUUGUCUCUUGGUCGGUUAGUUUUCUGUCAAUUUCUCAAUCGAAAGACACAUAACACAAUGUUGUGAAACAGGUUUUACAGUAGUCAAUCCCUUUAUGGUGUAAAUAAAAGUCAUCAUGAAAUGUUUAAUUGUAGCAUUCUGUGCACACAUCUUCAAUGCAUAUGAAAAAGGAAUUUGUUAAAGUAAUGAAUAGCCAAUUUCAUCCAUUUUGUUCUUGUAUUAAGGUGAAUCCAUUGCUGCAGACUCAUUGUCCCAUCAGGCCUUCUGCUCCACCCCUCCUGGUGGCAGUCCAAUGACUGGUGACCUUUUUAACAGGAGUAUAUUUGGUCCUGCAUUUCACUCACUUAAGGAGAUGUAUUUUUUCCUGCUGUCAUCCAAUUCUUAAAAAAAGAGAAUAUAUGUCCAGCAACCACCUCUGUGAUCUGAUCUCUUGUCUCCAAUACCUCAAAGCAAUUACCAACGUUGGACCCAUAUUUUAAUUUUUUUUAUGUGUCACUUUGUGGUAGUUCACUGUGACCUCUGGGUAGUGACUGUAGUAGCCAGCCAUGCUAAGACACCUGACCACUGUAUCAGCAUGAAGACACAGGAGACCAGGAAUGCUGUCAGAGUGCCCUUGCUGUUGCUGUGUUUUGCUCUUUUCAACAGUGCAAAACUAAAUGCACUCUCAGUCCCCUCCCAAAACAUCAACAGCCCUGAAGACUGCUGAAUCACAGAAUGCUUAAUGACUGAUUUACAGCUUCCAGUUAUGAACUUUUGCCUUGAACUCCCUGUUGACUGAGUUCUGGCUGUUUAAGCCCCUCCCCAUAACAGCCUUUCUUCUUGUGUGGAUUCUAAAUAGGGAAAUUGAGAACCUGUGAGAAAAUAUAAAAAAAAGAGAAUUAUGCAUAACAGCUGAUACAGUGCUUUCUUAUAAAUUUUUAUGUGUUGUGUUUGUUCAUUUAAUGUGCAUAAGGAGUAGGUUGUCUUCUCAUUCCAUCUGUAAUGUAUCCAUCCUCUAGAGACCCUCCUCCCCUACCAGAGCAAAUCACUUUUCAACUAUCAGUGGGUAACAAAAAGCAAAGGUAAAGUAUCUAUGUACAUUCUCACAGCUUUGAGCAAAAGUGUGAUUUCAUCCAUACAACGAGACGCACAUAACAAUUAUAACAUUUGAGCUUGGAUUGUUGUUAAUGUAUUGUUCAUAUCCUUGUUAUAUGAUAUAAUUUUAGUACUUUAUUUCUGCAUUUUACUUUUACAGUUAUAACUGUAUCAAAGCAGCUUGUCAGUCUUGCUACUACACGUAAAAAGAACAGCUUUUGUAAGGUAGGCCUACAUCUAAUCAACAGAAAAAUGGCAUAUUAAUAUAUUCACCAUGAAUGCGUGAAUGAUGACAUGUUGCAACUUCUGCUAGAGAUGCCUUCUUUAUAGUAAAGCUAUCUCGUUUUCUC
ensembl:lncRNA